ensembl:lncRNA
AGGAAAUGCUUUUCGCGCGAAAAGAGGCAUUUCUGGGGUGUAAAUGCGGGAUUUUCAGGAGAAAAGUGGUAUUUUCGGGUACAAGAUGCGUGACUUCUGGACAGAAGUGCAUUUUUUCAAGGAGAAAAUGCGUGAUAUUCGGGAAAAAACUUGUGUUUCCGGACGAACAAUGCGUGAUUUUCGUUAGAAAAGUGGAAUUUUCCAGUAGACAAUGCGUGAUAUUCGUGUGAAAUGGGGUUCCUUCAGGCAGAAAACGCGUGAUUUUAGGGUGAAAGGCAAUAUGUUCAGGGAGAAAAUGUGUGAUUUUCCUUUGAAACGUAGAAUUUUCGGGAAAAAAAUGCGUGGUUCUUGGGUGAAAUGGGGUUGCUUCGCGCAGAAAAUGCGUAAUUUUCGGGUGAAACGUGGUGUAUUUUCGGAGAGAAAAUGCGUGAUUUUGGGGUGAAAGGUAGUAUUUUCGAG